UAAACAUGCUGGGGAGGAGCAGACUGUGGGUUCUGAUAAGAGCAGUGUAGUGUCAGCCGUAUGAAACCUGCUCGGGAAGAGCCCAGUAAAGCCACAGGAGCCCUGGCCCAGCCUGAGCAGCCCCAGCCCGGCUCGUCCUUCCCCCUCAGCUCCCGUGAGAGGCACUCGGGGGGAAAGGGCUCCCUGGGGGACAGUGCCAGGGUCUGACCCCCGAGGAGGGGAGAGCCCCAGCCCUGCUCUGGCAGAGACAGAACAUCAAGAGUUAAAGAGAAAGUGAAACUCAGCAAGUGGUUCCAAAAUUUAUCGAACAUCACCUGAUGUAAUGUAGGGUUCAAUAUCUCUGGUCCACCCUUGUGCACUUGGCCUCCUCGCUUGAACAGCACACAGAAAACAGGGACCAGGCCUAGAGCAGACUCAUCACAGCUCUUGCUCACACCAUGGUCUUUCUUGCAGUUGCUGUUGCAUUCCUUGUCGGAAUCGCCGUAGGAGCUGCAAUUUUAGCAGCAGCAAAGAAUAAGUCUGUGGACAUCUCUGUAAAUUCCCAGGGUUUACGAUUCCGUAUUGGGAGAAAACUAAAGGCCCAAGCUCUGGGCAGCAGCACAUGCUAUGAUGUCCAGAAGAAGAACUGAUGAGCCCUGCCAGUCAGGAGAAGCACAUUUCCUUCCUUCCAAGCAGCCUGAUUUGUACCUUCUCACUGCAGGAACUGGAAAGCCUUCCCCGGCCUCCAGCUACUGCUUUAAAAUAUUUUAAUUACCUUGAUCAAUAAAUGCUUUGAAAAGUUCAAUAAAGUGCAUUGCAG